rnacentral:lncRNA from 1 species
UGACUCUAAAUGUCAUACUUUCACUGGUGAAAAGAGGAUGUCAUUAAUUAAUGACACUUUUCUUUACUAUCUUACAAGCAAGCUGCCAUAUCUCUCAGUUCAAUCAAAGGAAGCUCUCCAGUCUGGCUGCUGAAAAUAUUGACCACAAGCUUUCUCCAAGCAAAUGAAUACUUUCACAUGUUGGUUUCCUUCUCCUUUGCUGGAGUGUGAUUCAAUACCCAGAGGUGAAUCAUCGUUUUGUGAAGCUAAGGGAAUCCAAUGUCUGCUCCUGAAAGUGAACCACAAGCUGUGUCUACCACUGAAGUCUGGCUGAAAGCUGAGGGUGAACUGAAAUCAGCAUCCAGGCAAAGUUACUGUGAGUAAAGUUCAGCCAGCCUGCAUGACAAAAGCGCCUUUGAGCACCAAUUAGAUGCCAAGCCCCUGCUGGAGUCCAGGGAUGUGAGAGUGAAUGAGCCCCAGACACUGCUCCAGAAGAUCUUAUAACCUAGUUGAAGAGAUAGUUAUGUAAAUAAAUAUCAACAAAUUCCAGUGCUGUGGCUUAAUUCUAUGCAAGGUGUUGUGGGAGCACAGGAGAAGGAUGUGCCACUCAUACUGUACUGGACAAUGAAUACAGUGCUGGAGCUGAGCCUGGGAAAAUGCGGGGAGAUUUCUCACCUCCUGAAAGGGAGCCUGAGGGGAAUGGAGUAGCUUGAGAAAAGUCAUGACUCGACAAUGUCAGUGUAUCACUGUUAAACCGAGGAGCUGGGAUGUUGUAGGAGACGAAACAGGUGAGGCUCUCAGGGACAAGGCAGUGAGCAGAUGUGUGCCGGAUGGGAAGCUUGAUUUUUAGUCGACAAAUGAGGAAGCGCAGAAAAAAACCAUCCAAAGGCAAAGCUGGCUUCUUGCCGAAACUGUGCACGGCUGUCUCAGGCCUGAUAUCUGCACCCCAUACCCUUCAGAGGCAGAAGGGUUUCCUAAGCAAAAGUCCCAAAACUAAUCCAAGCUGCACUAGUUUGGGUCACAUCGCCAUUCUUAAAUUAAAUAUCAUGACCAAGACACAUGUCUCACCCGAAAGGCAGAGAUAAAACAUCAUCAGUGAGACAUGCCAGCUAACAUAUACCGACUUGAGAUUGGCUUAAAAGACACUGAUAGUUAAUGAAGAAAUGAAGAACAUCUCCGAAAUGAAUCCAGCUGCGUCAAUAUGGACCACCCUAGAAACUAAACCAAUUUGUGUGGUUUAUUCUUGUCCUCAAUCCAAUUUUUAACCCUUGAAGAAACUACUCAUCACAAAAGAAUCUCAGUUGCCAUUUUGGGGACUAAUUUUGUAUGUCAAACCGCUAACUUUCCCCUUUAUUCUAUGCUAUUCUUAGCCCAAGGUUGCUUGACGUUCAAUAAAUAUUAAAUGUAGCAAUAAUAAUGAUGAUGAUGACCAUGUAAAUAAAUAAAAAGAAAUAAUCCUUUAUAAGCCUUUUCAGAUUGUCUGCAUUUAUGAUUUCAGAAUUAGAGAAAAGUCAUUUCAUGGGGUCAAGUGGAAUGUCUUUUGCCCUCUUUAGAUGUUGUUAACUCAUGUUCAAUUUUCCAAAGUCAAAUGUACAAAGUUCUAAUGGAGUAAGAUAAUUCCCCAGUAAGCACACUGUCCAUCUGUAAACCAUAUUUAUGGUAUUUUUAAAGGUGAAAACAGCAUAUUUGUCAUGUGUAGCUUCAAAUGGAAUUGAAUAUUCUUUCUUGUACAAACCUCUAUUAAAAGAAGUCUUAAACUCAUAGGCAUUAUGAGUAUUCCUUUGGAUUGUGAGUAUUUCCACAAUAGCCACAGCUUAUACAUGUAUGUUACCUGCCUGAGCAUAAAGUCUGACACGUAGUGGGUGCACAUUAAACAUUUGUUAAAUAAGAAAUGUUUUAUUUUUGUUUUUAUUUUGGCUUCCCAAAUGUGAAAGCUGAAUUUGUGCAUGUUCUCCCAGCUGGAGAAAGCAGGUUAAUAAGCACUAUUAUAGUGAGUACAAUUUAAAGCAGUGAUUACAAAUUAUUUCUGUUUUUCAUGCCAAGCCUUGUGUUUAAGAGUAGGAUGGGCAUGCUGCGAUUGAUUAGGAAUGCCUGCCAUGAAGAGAGCAUAGUGGAACAGCAGCACUGAGCCAGACAGCUGCCAUCCAGAUAUAAAGGUAUCUCCCCCACAACAGAGGGAUGGGCUUGGCAGAGAAGACAUAGGAGAGCAAAUGUCCCAUUGGUGUAUUUCCCAGCACCAGAAAAGCUUAGCAACGGACUCCAUUAAAAAGUAAGUAUGCAAAUUGCAUUUGUUGAGAAUUUGCUUAUAAUUUCUUUUCUAUGAAUGGACUAAAUCUUCAGCAAAUAUUCAAGACAUACAAACACAUGGCCCAGAGUUAUUUGAGGAUUUUCAGAAUUUGAGAAAAAAUUCCAACCAGGCAAUAAUUGAAGUUCCACUAUUAUGAAUGCAUUGAUUUUUGUAAAUUCAAGUACAGGCCUCUUUCAUUUGAAAUAAAAUAAACCAGAUUGCUGUCCACCCUUGGCAUUUUACAGUUGACAGAACAAGCAUUGAACUCCUGCUAGGCCCAAAAAGACAAACUAUAAAUAGUAGCCAAAAAUCACCCCAAACCCACUUCAUGACUAACUGGAGUAUCUCGUCUUCUGGGGCUAUUGUUUGACUUGGUGACUCUGCAGAUAUCUUCCAUUUGCCCAUCCAUACCCUCUGCUCUUAAAUAGGAAGCUGGCCUCUUGGGUAACACAACUGUCUCCGGUACUCCUCGGCCACCAACUGAGGUCAGCCAAAAGAAGC